rnacentral:rRNA from 1 species
UACGAAGGGGGCUAGCGUUAUCCGGAAUGAUUGGGCGUAAAGCGUCCGCAGGUGGCUGUGUAAGUCUGCUGUCAAAGAGCGAAGCUCAACUUCGUAAAGGCAGUGGAAACUACACGGCUAGAGUGCGUUCGGGGCAGAGGGAAUUCCUGGUGUAGCGGUGAAAUGCGUAGAGAUCAGGAAGAACACCGGUGGCGAAGGCGCUCUGCUAGGCCGCAACUGACACUGAGGGACGAAAGCUAGGGGAGCGAAUGGG